AUAGAACCUGAAACCCUGCACUUACAAGCUGUGGAAGAGCAUUUCUUGUGUGACCGCGUACUUUUUGUAGAACGGGCCAACGAGUUACGUUAAGUAGCAAGGUUAAGCACUUAAGGUGUGGAGCCGUAGCGAAAGCGAGUUUUAACUGAGCGUUCAGUUACUUGACGUAGACCCGAAACCGGGCGACCUACCCAGGAGCAGGAUGAAGCGAAAGUAAAAUUUCGUGGAGGUCCGAACCCACGAGCGUUGAAAAGCUCGGGGAUGACUUGUGGGUAGCGGUGAAAUUCCAAUCGAGCCCGGAGAUAGCUGGUUCUCCCCGAAAUAGCUUUAGGGCUAGCCUCAAGGUGAG
rnacentral:rRNA from 1 species